UACGUAGGGUGCAAGCGUUGUCCGGAAUUAUUGGGCGUAAAGAGCUCGUAGGCGGUUUGUCGCGUCUGCUGUGAAAACUCAGGGCUUAACCCUGAGCCUGCAGUGGGUACGGGCAGACUAGAGUGUGGUAGGGAGAUCGGAAUUCCUGGUGUAGCGGUGGAAUGCGCAGAUAUCAGGAGGAACACCGGUGGCGAAGGCGGAUCUCUGGGCCAUAACUGACGCUGGAGGAGCGAAAGCAUGGGGAGCGAACAGGA
rnacentral:rRNA from 1 species